AUGAACCGGCUCUUCCUCAGUCCGUCACAUUGCUCAAUACACCACAUAUCAAAGAAGCUCAGACUUACAUCAGCUAAGAAGAUUGGGAAUAUCACUACAACAACCCUUCCAAGAGAAGAAAGGGUUAACAAUACAGAGGAAAUCUGGUUUCAGAACAAUGGGGAACUAAUAUAGAAUAGUGGUUAAGAGUAUGGGUUCUGGAGCCAGACAAAUAAGAGUUUUAAUCCUGUCUGCCACUUGCUAGCUGGGUAAUCCUGUAUCACCUGCCUUCUCUAAUUCUCAUUUUUAGCAACCAUAAAAUAAGGAAUAUAAUGUCUCCCUCGUAGCAUAUAGAUGAAAUGAACUAAUAAGGGAAAGCAUCUGCACAGUGCCUGCCACCAAAUUUUUCAAUAAAUGGUAGCAGUUAAUAUCAAAUUGAAGUUAUUCUGUAUUUCCAGAUACAUAAAAAUACAGAGAUUUUAAGUUGUAAUGGCAUUUUUUUUUAUUUUUAUUUUUAUUUAUUUAUGAUAGUCACAGAGAGAGAGAGAGAGAGGCAGAGACACAGGCAGAGGGAGAAGCAGGCUCCAUGCACUGGGAGCCCGACGUGGGAUUCGAUCCCGGGUCUCCAGGAUCGCGCCCUGGGCCUAAAACAGGCGCUAAACCGCUGCGCCACCCAGGGAUCCCUGUAAUGGCAUUUUAACAUUAUAGUAGUUAUAAUAUGCUAAGGAAUACUUUUUCAUUAUGAGAACAAAUUGCUUCAGGUGAUUUACUUCCUAUCUUUACUUCUGGUUUCCAUUGAUGAAUCAUUACAAAUUUGUGCAAAUUUCAAGUAUAUUGCCUAAGGCUUUUUAUAAAAAAUGUUCAUUUCUUUAUUAAUACAUAUAUAUAUAUAAAAUUUUAGAUAAUACAUAAAUGUGAACACAUACGUAUCUUUAGUGAUAGUUUUUAAAAAUCUCUCUCUUCCCCCACUUCAGCCUUUUAUUCCCCACUUCCAUGGUAGUCCAUGUUAACAGCCUAAUAUGUACCCAUCCAUUUUUUCUCUUGAUUUAUAUAAAUACCUUCAAUUCAUUGGGGUAUAACAUGAAUUCAUACUUUAAUAGCAGCACAAUAAUCCACAGUUCAGAUAUAACAAUAUCUAUCUAGCAUUUCCCCAAUUAUUGAGCGAUCAUUUUGUUUUCAUUUCUUGGCGCUACAAAUUAUGCUACAAUAAACAUCCUUAAGUGUCUUUAUCUACUGAUGUGAUUAUUUCAUUGGGAUAUAUUCCCAGGAGUAGGAUUGCUAGGUUGAAGGAAAUGUGCAUUUUAAAUUUUAAUAGAUAUUGAUAAGUCUUUUCCACUAGAAGCAAGAAAUGUAAAAACAUUUUAUGUCACUUUUACCAAAAAUGCCACUUAUAUAUAACAGUUAUGUAACAAUAAAUGUGCAAUACUUUUGAAAAAAACAAUAAACUUCUGGUAAGGAAGUUUAAAACAAAGAUGCAUUCCAUUGGGAUAUGUUCUCCUUUUUAAUUACUGUAAUUGGGAAGUGGAUUUGAGUAGGAGAUGGGGGCAGGGGAGAGGAGACUUUAAAAAGAAAGGAUACUGAAAUAGAAAUCUUUCCAAGUUUACUUUCAUCAAUAGGUGACUUUCCCCUCCAUAAGUGUGCUGUUCUAAAACAGGAUGUCUGAGCAUCCUGGUAAUACACAAUCAUGUGGCUGUUACACACUUUUUUUUGCAAGUUCAUUGGCAUAUUCUUUUGGCUACAUGUUUUGUGGUGUGCAGCAUACUAAUUUUUACUACUUAAACAUUUUUCAUUAAUUUUCUGUAGUAAGGAGUGGAGAAAGGAGACAGUUCCAAGAACAAAGGCUGUC
rnacentral:lncRNA from 1 species